rnacentral:rRNA from 1 species
CGAACGGAGCUUAGAGAGCUUGCUUUUUAAGCUUAGUGGCGAACGGGUGAGUAACGCGUGAGUAACCUGCCCUAGAGUGGGGGACAACAGUUGGAAACGACUGCUAAUACCGCAUAAGCCCACGGUACCGCAUGGUACUGAGGGAAAAGGAUUUGUUCGCUUUAGGAUGGACUCGCGUCCAAUUAGCUAGUUGGUGAGGUAACGGCCCACCAAGGCGACGAUUGGUAGCCGGACUGAGAGGUUGAACGGCCACAUUGGGACUGAGACACGGCCCAGACUCCUACGGGAGGCAGCAGUGGGGGAUAUUGCACAAUGGGGGAAACCCUGAUGCAGCGACGCCGCGUGGAGGAAGAAGGUUUUCGGAUUGUAAACUCCUGUCGUUAGGGACGAUAAUGACGGUACCUAACAAGAAAGCACCGGCUAACUACGUGCCAGCAGCCGCGGUAAAACGUAGGGUGCAAGCGUUGUCCGGAAUUACUGGGUGUAAAGGGAGCGCAGGCGGGAAGACAAGUUGGAAGUGAAAACCAUGGGCUCAACCCAUGAAUUGCUUUCAAAACUGUUUUUCUUGAGUAGUGCAGAGGUAGAUGGAAUUCCCGGUGUAGCGGUGGAAUGCGUAGAUAUCGGGAGGAACACCAGUGGCGAAGGCGGUCUACUGGGCACCAACUGACGCUGAGGC